UAUAAAUGACAUCCUUCCAUGUGUCAGAUUCAUAAUCUGCUGAUAAAUGAGAUAUAAAGGAAACAUAAAAUGACUCGAUUCUGGAUUUCAGUUUUGUUCAGAUUGCUCUUUUGGACAAUGUAAUCCCCCCCAAAUCCAGAUGUUUAUCAGGCUGAAGAAAAGCUCGGUGUGAAUAUCGGAGCCUCGGCUACUCUACAAUGUUGUGUUUUAGGAACAGAAAACGGAGACAUUAUCUGGUUUAAGCAACAAAACACAAAACAGCCUCAGGUUAUAGUCAGAUUAUUUAACACUGCCAGAGAAAAGUUUUACAAAGAAUUCCAAAAUUCUCGUUUUCAAAUUAAAAGGUUCGGACACUGCUUCAAUUUGACCAUUUUAAACACCACAAUGUGUGAUGAAGCCACAUAUUACUGUGCGCUCGUGUCUACUGAUGGAACUCGUGUACAAAUGAAAGGUAGGAUUUCUACUGAAACGAAUGAUGGGACUGAUUAAAUGUUGUAACGUUUUAUUCUUCAUCAACAUUCUCAACAUUCUUCAAAGAUAUUCAGGUUUAGUUUUUAGUGACGUGUCGUGAUAAGCGUUUCUAUGUGAGCGUGUUAACGCUGAAACAUCUAAAGCAGCUCUGUGUGAUAAUUCAGUGGUGUGUGAACCAACACCGCAUGGAGACAACACUAACACCGACACACGACAUGACACAGUGAUUUCUCCAGAAAGUAGGAAGAAAUCACAUUUCAACACUUUGACUUAUGCAGCAUUGAAGAGAAGUGAAUUUUGCUUGUCAGACAAUCCGGUGCACUCCGAAGUGACGUAUAUGAAACUGUAAUAUAUGAAAAAACUGAUAAUAAUAAUUGUUGUUGUUUUUGUUGUUGUUGUUGUUGUAGUUGUUGUUGUUAUUGUAUAUCUUCCAAAUGAUUAUAAAUAAUCAAUUAAAUGUGACAUACAAAUCUGUGUAUCCAGAUGUAUUUGCAAAAAA